UACGUAGGGUGCAAGCGUUAAUCGGAAUUACUGGGCGUAAAGCGUGCGCAGGCGGUUAUGUAAGACAGUUGUGAAAUCCCCGGGCUCAACCUGGGAAUUGCAUCUGUGACUGCAUCGCUGGAGUACGGUAGAGGGGAUGGAAUUCCGCGUGUAGCAGUGAAAUGCGUAGAUAUGCGGAGGAACACCGAUGGCGAAGGCAAUCCCCUGGACCUGUACUGACGCUCAUGCACGAAAGCGUGGGGAGCAACAGG
rnacentral:rRNA from 1 species